rnacentral:rRNA from 1 species
GACGAACCGUGCGAACGUUAUUCGGAAUCAUUGGGCUUAAAGGGCGCGUAGGCGGCGGUGUAAGUUGGAAGUGAAAUCCCAUCGGCUCAACCGUGGAAUUGCUCCCAGUACUGCAUCGCUCGAGGGGGAUAGGGGUCUGCGGAACUACCGGUGGAGCGGUGAAAUGUGUUGAUAUCGGUGGGAACGCCAGUGGCGAAAGCGGCAGACUGGACCCUUCCUGACGCUGAGGCGCGAAAGCUAGGGGAGCAAACGGG